UUAUGUACUGCGGGCAGGGGUGUCCAUGGGCCGGGGUGGCUCAUGGGCCGUGGUUUGGACAUCGCUGGUUUACAUUGUUUGUGUUUAGUCACGUGACAUAUGUCAGGGAGAGGUAUGGCGAGAAUGAAUGUUAGUUUGAUAUUUUGGUAUGAUUGUUAUAUCCCCUUGUUAUGAAUGCGAAGUGUUGCACGUGUUGUGAACUGAGUGAUUAAGUCUUCGUUGAAUGUGCGAGAGAAUGUGUUAGUCAGUAAGGUCUUGCUCCCGGUCCAGGAAGGUUGGACGUUUACUUCCUGGACUGGUAUUUAUGUAUUUAUAAUUGAUGGACUGGUGUUUUGUGUAUUACUAUUUCAUAAGAGUGAUAUAAUUGUGUGCGUUAUCAAGUAUUAAAGUAUUGUUGAUAUUCAUGAAUAUAA